AACGAACGCUGGCGGCGUGCCUAACACAUGCAAGUCGAGCGAGAAAGGGGAGCAAUCCCUGAGUACAGCGGCAGACGGGUGAGUAACACGUGGGUAAUCUACCCUCGAGCGGGGAAUAACAUCUCGAAGAGGUGCUAAUACCGCAUAAACAUCCAUGGACCUGCGGGUUCGUGGAUCAAAGGUGGGGAUCUUCGGACUACCACUUGAGGAGGAGCCCGCGCCUGAUUAGCUAGUUGGUGGGGUAACGGCCUACCAAGGCGACGACUCA
rnacentral:rRNA from 1 species